GUGGCUCAGUGGUAGAGUGCUUGCCUAGCAUGCAUGAGGCCCUGGGUUCAAUUCCCGGC
rnacentral:tRNA from 1 species